rnacentral:rRNA from 1 species
GAUGAACGCUGGCGGCGUGCUUAACACAUGCAAGUCGAGCGAGUGAGUUCUUCGGAACGAUCUAGCGGCGGACGGGUGAGUAACACGUGGGCAACCUGCCUCAUAGAGGGGAAUAGCCUCCCGAAAGGGAGAUUAAUACCGCAUAACAUCGUUGAAGGGCAUCCUUCGAUGAUCAAAGGAGCAAUCCGCUAUGAGAUGGGCCCGCGGCGCAUUAGCUAGUUGGUGAGGUAACGGCUCACCAAGGCGACGAUGCGUAGCCGACCUGAGAGGGUGAUCGGCCACAUUGGGACUGAGACACGGCCCAGACUCCUACGGGAGGCAGCAGUGGGGAAUAUUGCACAAUGGGGGAAACCCUGAUGCAGCAACGCCGCGUGAGUGAUGACGGCCUUCGGGUUGUAAAGCUCUGUCUUUGGGGACGAUAAUGACGGUACCCAAGGAGGAAGUCACGGCUAACUACGUGCCAGCCGCCGCGGUAA